UACCUCCGAGGUGUUUACCUCGGCCCCAUCGCGGGCGCCCGUCGAAAGUUUCAGGUUCUCUCUCUCGCGGCGAGAGAGCGGACGAAGACGAAUAAGGGUGUUGGUGCGGCUGCAUGGCCUCUGGUUCCCUUUAGCACCGCACCGAGGUCCAGGCCUCAAGGUGCGGUCGCUCAUGGCAUUCCACCACCGAUGUGGGCCCUCGCCAUCGAUGUCGCUCUUGGUCCUGCCAUUCUUUUGCCGGGCUUUGGAGAUGACAAGGUAAGAUGUCAAGCAGCAAUGAACAGCAAAGAGCAAGUCACAGUGUGCUACAAGAUCUAGGGGCAUUAGUAAUUGGCAACAAAAUCCCUAUUUCCCUCCCUCCCUUUAUCUUUCCCUUUCUCUAUUCCUUCUUAAGAUAACCUACCUCUCUCUAUCUCUCUUAUUUGUUUGUUUCGAGGGCUUCUUGCUGGGAGAGUUCAGUUUUCCUAUAAGACCGCCCUAUCUUAUCUUAUCUUGCUAUGUGGAAACGAUUUGAACUUGUUUCCUACUUUGGUUUCCGUCUGGCUUGAUAAAUGCACUCUAAGUUCCAGAAGGUUAGUUCCUUUAGGGUGAGAACUGAACUAAGGAGAUGUGUUUAUUGAAGAUAGCAGUAGCUGCAUGGGUGGGGAAAAUGGUGUAAAUGUGCACUCUGUUCUCAUAUUUAUAUUAAAAACAAGAAGAUGUCAUAUGCCAAGCAAAGUUGGACUUAAAGGCUUUCCCAUUGUAUGAUUAUAGAGGAGCACGUUUCUUCUAUAGAGGUACUCUUCUUAUAUUUACAUCUCAGUGGCUUAAUUCUUGGGGCCAUGACUAGUGGCUAAAGACAUGUAAUUACAGGGAGAGUCAAAUUUACUUGAAUGUAUGCUGAACCUGCUAGAGAUAUCAGAUCCUGAUGCAGAUGCUGAAGUACAUAUUGUACUGAACUCUCUUGUUGUAUAGCUGCUGAGAGUCGCUAUGAAGACAAUCGGGAAUGCUAGCCAUUGGCAUUCUGGUCCUUUUUAGGUUUGGUGAUGUUCAGGGAGUAGAAGACAUUUCUUCAUGGCAGCACAGUCAUGGCUAAGAAUUAAGAGCAUAAUACCAAAUAUUAGAGGGAAUCAAGAAUUCUGAAGUAUCUGAAGUUAGUGCAGUUGACUUCUUGUUGGUGGGCUAAUGGAUAUCAUCAUCAUUCUAGAAGACAAUCAUGAGUUGUGGACCAUGUCAAAAACCUACAAGGCUUUUUCAGCUGCCACCAGUCGAGCAUAAGAGGAGCCACACCCCUCCCUUUAACACCCACCAGCUCCUGAGAACAGCAGCAGUAGCAUUAACCAUGCCAAGACUCGUGCCUGUCCUCAUUCUCAUUUUCCUAAUUCUUCUUUUUGAGACGUCUUCAAGCCCAGUCCAGAGCAUUGAGGAUGGAAUUAAACCUGGACACUUGGUGAGCAAGAUGCGUGCAAUAAGGGCUCUAGGGGAGAUCACACUGGAUUAUGACGACGGAGGAGCUAACCCCAAACAUGAUCCCAGGAAGGGGAAGCCAGGGAAUGGCGGCAAGAAUCCGUAACUCCCAUUUGCCCAUCCCCACAUAAAGUAUGUACGCAUGCAUGUAUGUAUGCAUGCAUGCCACUAAACAAAGCAAUAGAGAUUAUGAUCCCAUGCUGUUAUUUUUUAUGGUUGUUAUUGAGGUCAUGUACUUGCUCUCUCAUAUUCCUCUCCCUUUGAUGAAUCAGUUCCCAUAAAUAAACCGAGAGGUCCGUAAUAAGUUAGUCGUC